GGUGGAGGAAGACGGAGUCACUUGUUUGACCCAUUCCAAUAUCUUCUUCCCAACAAAACGUAACAGGCAGGGAUUUGAAAGCUGUCACUUUUUCUUUGUAAAUGUUCCUACCCAGGAAGACAUUCCUUUACUCACGGUCAAGCCUUCUGGAAACACCUCCCUUCAAAGCUGCAGAAGCGCACCUAUGGAAAUCAGUCCUUCUGGUGGAAGGAGUGGAGCGCAUACUCAAUGUGAUGUUCAGAAGUUGGGCUUCGGGAAAACAAAGAGCAGAAAGAAGGAUGGACCAGAGAGAUUAUAAUCUCUAGCUGGAGAGGCCCUGGGCCAGGGAGCAGCAGCCAGCUCCAACUCUGGGCGGGGUCCCGGAGGCCGGGAGGACCAGCCUCACCUACCCACAUCAGGGCCCACCCGCAUCAGGGUCCGGCACCUAAAUCUUGGGAACCCCAGCCAGGGAACAUUCCAGACUCACUCCUGGUGAGUCCCCUAAA